UGGGGAAUCUUGCGCAAUGGGCGAAAGCCUGACGCAGCCAUGCCGCGUGAAUGAUGAAGGUCUUAGGAUUGUAAAAUUCUUUCAGCGGGGACGAUAAUGACGGUACCCGCAGAAGAAGCCCCGGCUAACUUCGUGCCAGCAGCCGCGGUAAUACGAAGGGGGCUAGCGUUGCUCGGAUUUACUGGGCGUAAAGGGCGCGUAGGCGGAUUGACAAGUUGGGGGUGAAAGCCCGGGGCUCAACCUCGGAAUUGCCUUCAAAACUGUCAGUCUUGAGUUCGGGAGAGGUGAGUGGAACUCCGAGUGUAGAGGUGAAAUUCGUAGAUAUUCGGAAGAACACCAGUGGCGAAGGCGACUCACUGGCCCGAUACUGACGCUGAGGCGCGAAAGCGUGGGGAGCAAACAGGAUUAGAUACCCUGGUAGUCCACGCUGUAAACGAUGAGUGCUAGUUGUCGGCAGGCAUGCCUGUCGGUGACGCAGCUAACGCAUUAAGCACUCCGCCUGGGGAGUACGUCGC
rnacentral:rRNA from 1 species